rnacentral:rRNA from 1 species
UUAGAUGCCCGGGGCCGCACGCGCGCUACACUGAAGGAAACAGCGUGUGCUCUCCCGGUCCGGCUGGAUCGGGUAACCCGCUGAAACUCCUUCGUGAUAGGGAUAGGGGAUUGUAACUAUUCCCCUUGAACGAGGAAUCCCUAGUAGUCGCGGAUCAUCAGUCCGCGGCGACUACGUCCCUGCCCUUUGUGCACACCGCCCGUCGCUACCUUCGAUUGAGUGAAGGAGUGAGGUCUUCGGACUGGCAGNUUUNAGAUGUAUGUCGGAGGGUACGUCCGGAAAGAUGACCAAACUUG